CCUACGGGAGGCUGCAGUGGGGAAUAUUGCACAAUGGGCGCAAGCCUGAUGCAGCCAUGCCGCGUGUGUGAAGAAGGCCUUCGGGUUGUAAAGCACUUUCAGCGGGGAGGAAGGCGGUGAGGUUAAUAACCUCAUCGAUUGACGUUACCCGCAGAAGAAGCACCGGCUAACUCCGUGCCAGCAGCCGCGGUAACACGGAGGGUGCAAGCGUUAAUCGGAAUUACUGGGCGUAAAGCGCACGCAGGCGGUCUGUCAAGUCGGAUGUGAAAUCCCCGGGCUCAACCUGGGAACUGCAUUCGAAACUGGCAGGCUAGAGUCUUGUAGAGGGGGGUAGAAUUCCAGGUGUAGCGGUGAAAUGCGUAGAGAUCUGGAGGAAUACCGGUGGCGAAGGCGGCCCCCUGGACAAAGACUGACGCUCAGGUGCGAAAGCGUGGGGAGCAAACAGGAUUAGAUACCCCGGUAGUC
rnacentral:rRNA from 1 species